UGUAGCCACCUCGCUCCGCAGACGUUCUCACGCACCGUCCGCAGGCGAAGUGACACAUU
rnacentral:pre_miRNA from 1 species